AGUGAACGCUGGCGGCAUGCCUAACACAUGCAAGUCGAGCGGCCGCACGGGAAGCUUUCGCCCCUGCGGGUGGCGGCUGGCGGGCGGGUAACACAUGGAUAGGAUUCCUAUAGGACUGGGGUGACAUCGUAGGGAAGGUUAUACUACCACCGCAUAUGACCUACGGGAGGGUGCAGUGGUGACAGAGAGCUUGCGUGUCACUAAGAGACGGAUCCGUGUUGCAUUAGCUAGUUGGUAAGGUAAAGGCCUACCAAGGCCACGAUGCAUAGCUGGUCUGAGAGGGUGAUCAGCCACACUGGAACUGAGACACGGUCCAGACUCCUACGGGAGGCAGCAGUGGGGAAUCUUGGACAAUGGGCGAAAGCCUGACCCAGCAAUGCCGCGUGAGUGAUGAAGGCCUUCGGGUUGUAAAGCCCUUUUGUUAGGAAAGAAAAGCUGGGGAAUAAUACGGGCAUGUUAUGACGGUACCUAAAGAGAAAGCACCGGCUAACUACGUG
rnacentral:rRNA from 1 species